rnacentral:rRNA from 1 species
UACGGAGGGGGCGAGCGUUAUUCGGAAUUAUUGGGCGUAAAGGGCGCGUAGGCGGCUCGAUAAGUCAAAGGUGAAAUCCCUCGGCUCAACUGAGGAACUGCCUUUGAAACUGUCGAGCUUGAGUCCGGGAGGGGGUAGCGGAAUUCCCAGUGUAGCGGUGAGAUGCGUAGAUAUUGGGAGGAACACCAGUGGCGAAGGCGGCUACCUGGACCGGAACUGACGCUGAGGCGCGAAAGCGUGGGUAGCAAACAGG